UACAGGGGUCUCAAGCGUUGUUCGGAUUCAUUGGGCGUAAAGGGUGCGUAGGCGGCGCGGUAAGUCGGGUGUGAAAUCUCGGAGCUUAACUCCGAAACUGCAUUCGAUACUGCCGUGCUUGAGGACUGGAGAGGAGACUGGAAUUUACGGUGUAGCGGUGAAAUGCGUAGAUAUCGUAAGGAAGACCAGUGGCGAAGGCGGGUCUCUGGACAGUUCCUGACGCUGAGGCACGAAGGUCAGGGAGCAAACGGG
rnacentral:rRNA from 1 species